GCUUCAAUGGCAGCCUCAGCUGGUAGGAAGUCCUCCACGUCAACUUUCUUAUUCUCGUUCUUCUUGUCUUUUUAUUCAUGAUGAAUGAAGGAUAUUACAAAUGUAUGGAGUAUAUAUUUUAGAUCGGACGAGCAGAUGUACAUGCUCUCAAUCAUGUUAUCAGUUGAUGCUAAAGCAAUGCAACUCUAUGUUAUCAGUCGAUGCUACUGCAAUGCAACUCUUAAGUUAUCAGUUGAUGCUAAUGCAAUGCAACUUAUGCAUAUUGGGAGUGGUGCUGACCGCUGAGUGCUGACUCAAGUAAUCAAUGAGACUAUAUGAGAGAAUGAUAAAUACAAGUGAGUGGAUACAGUCCUCAAAGAAGCGGCGUAUUUCAGCCAGACGAUGUGGCGGAAGCUCCUUGAUAUCCUUGUAAUGGCGAAACUCGGGGUCAUCAGCACAUACAGCUAUAAUCUUGUCAUCCUUUU
rnacentral:lncRNA from 1 species